GGCGAACGCUGGCGGCGUGCCUAAUACAUGCAAGUCGAACGAGAGCGACCGGUGCUUGCACUGGUCAAUCUAGUGGCGAACGGGUGAGUAACACGUGGGUAACCUGCUCAUCAGAGGGGGAUAACAUCCGGAAACGGAUGCUAAAACCGCAUAGGUCUUCGAGCCGCAUGGCUUGAAGAGGAAAAGAGGCGCAAGCUUCUGCUGAUGGAUGGACCCGCGGUGCAUUAGCUAGUUGGUGAGGUAACGGCUCACCAAGGCCGUGAUGCAUAGCCGACCUGAGAGGGUGAUCGGCCACAUUGGGACUGAGACACGGCCCAAACUCCUACGGGAGGCAGCAGUAGGGAAUCUUCCGCAAUGGACGCAAGUCUGACGGAGCAACGCCGCGUGAGUGAAGAAGGUUUUCGGAUCGUAAAACUCUGUUGUUAGAGAAGAACAAGUGCUAGAGUAACUGUUAGCGCCUUGACGGUAGCUAACCAGAAAGCCACGGCUAACUACGUG
rnacentral:rRNA from 1 species